UUUCCCUGCCCUUUCAGACCACCGAGCUGCUCAUUGGGGGACUUUUUUGGCUCCGCCCACGUGACUCAAGAGCAGGAGGAUUGUGGGAGGUGGAGAGAAGCUUGUGUGGGAGAGAGAGGCUUGGGGAAAGCGGGUGGUGGCAGUUGAGGCUCUGAGGGUUUUUCCUGAGAGACUAUUUUGUUUGUCGUGUGUGGUUCUAAAAAUAAAGUUAGUUUCUUUUGACAAGUGGCUCCUGAUUGUGCCCAGCCAGACUGCGGCAUAUAAACCUGUAAAAACCAAAAGCACUCUGGAGUUCUCAGUAAGUUUUAAGAAUAUAAAAGGGUCUGUACCAAGGAUUGAACCCUGAGGUGCCUUACCACUGAGUCAAAUCCUCAGCCAUUUUUAUUUAUUUAUUUUUAUUUUGAGACAGGGUCUCACUAAGUUCCUGAGGCUAGUCUUAAACUUGCAAACCUCCUUCCUCAGUCUCCUGAGUUGCUAGGAUUACAGGUGUGUGCUGUAGA
rnacentral:lncRNA from 1 species